rnacentral:rRNA from 1 species
CGUGGGUAACCUGCCCAAGAGAUCGGGGAUAACACCUGGAAACAGAUGCUAAUACCGUAUAACAACAGAUGGUGCCUAUCAACUGUUUAAAAAGAUGGUUCUGCUAUCACUCUUGGAUGGACCUGCGGUGCAUUAGCUAGUUGGUAGGGUAACGGCCUACCAAGGCGAUGAUGCAUAGCCGAGUUGAGAGACUGAUCGGCCACAUUGGGACUGAGACACGGCCCAAACUCCUACGGGAGGCAGCAGCU